rnacentral:rRNA from 1 species
UACAGAGGGUGCGAGCGUUGUCCGGAAUCACUGGGCAUAAAGGGCGCGUAGGUGGCGCUCCAAGUCUGUGGUGAAAGCUCGAUGCUUAACAUCGAGUCGGCCACGGAGACUGGAGGGCUUGAGCACUGUAGGGGCAGAUGGAAUUCCGGGUGUAGCGGUGGAAUGCGUAGAGAUCCGGAAGAACACCGGUGGCGAAGGCGGUCUGCUGGGCAGUUGCUGACACUGAGGCGCGACAGCGUGGGGAGCAAACAGG